GCCUGGUCCAAAGGUAGUGAGUUAUUUCACUUGAUUAUUCACAGUCACAGAUUGAACUCCUUGUUCUACUACUUUCCCCCCCUCUCACUACUGCUCUUGACGAGUCUAAA
rnacentral:Y_RNA from 1 species